rnacentral:rRNA from 1 species
GAUGAACGCUGGCGGCGUGCCUAAUACAUGCAAGUCGAGCGAACAGACGAGGAGCUUGCUCCUCUGACGUUAGCGGCGGACGGGUGAGUAACACGUGGAUAACCUACCUAUAAGACUGGGAUAACUUCGGGAAACCGGAGCUAAUACCGGAUAAUAUAUUGAACCGCAUGGUUCAAUAGUGAAAGACGGUUUUGCUGUCACUUAUAGAUGGAUCCGCGCCGCAUUAGCUAGUUGGUAAGGUAACGGCUUACCAAGGCAACGAUGCGUAGCCGACCUGAGAGGGUGAUCGGCCACACUGGAACUGAGACACGGUCCAGACUCCUACGGGAGGCAGCAGUAGGGAAUCUUCCGAAAUGGGCGAAAGCCUGACGGAGCAACGCCGCGUGAGUGAUGAAGGUCUUCGGAUCGUAAAACUCUGUUAUGAGGGAAGAACAAAUGUGUAAGUAACUAUGCACGUCUUGACGGUACCUAAUCAGAAAGCCACGGCUAACUACGUG